GGGAAAAUCCCGUCUGCUUUUUUCCUUAAUUUUGAAGCCCCGAAUUAGUCUACCCGACCCACUAAAUCGGAUCCUAUAAUACCCUUCUUUUUUCUCAUUCCGCUUCUCACUGUUCAUAUUGUUUAUCUGAAACCCUAACUACACUCCCUUUCUCUGAAACCCUAACUACAGCCGCCUUCAACAAUCUUCGUAUCAUCAUCAUCAUCAUCAUCAUCAUCGUUCAAUCCCAGAUUUUCAUCAUCCUUUUUUAAACCCUAUCUGUCAACACCGUCUUUUUUCAUCUUCUUGUGAGGUUUUUUCUACACAGAUCUAAAACGCAGGUUUAAUUCGAUCCAAGGCAGCACAAUGGAGUGGUAUCUUCGAUUAGGGUUAUUAGUGGCCGGAAUUAGGUUAAGGAUGCGACUUUUGGCCAGAAUCCUCUUCAGCAUCAAGUCAAUAUAGUUAUGCUAUUGUUAAGGAAAAUAUGGUAUCCACUCAAUCACCAGAUGCCAAAAUCAUCAAAGAAGGGCAGGCUGUAAUUAGGGCUCGACUGGGUUUAUUCCGCUUAAGAACACGGAUAAGAACAACGUCAACGGCUUCACCUGGUACCGCUGGAGUAUAGGUUUGCUAAGAUGCCUCUUACACCGUCCCCAUCUGGUAUAUUGUUAAUUUUGAUAACUUGGUUUUAUAAUUUAUAUUUUCAAUUUGUUUGAGUUAAUUGAUUAUUUUUAAAGUAUAUACGGGUUUACAUCAGUGUCCUCAUGAUCGAUCAUUCACUAUGGAGAAAUUUUGAAGAGCUAUGAAAUUAAAGGCUCAAGACAUAAAGUCUGAGCCUGUGUACGCUCGAGGCAAGCUAAGCGUACAUCCAUUCCAGGCUUUUUUAGUUGUUUUAGACUAGAUUUUGGCUGGUUAAAUUGUUUAGAGUAGUUUACGCAGGUUAGGUUGGUUCAAACUUCUUAUGAUUGAGUUUAUUCCUUAAUCGGGCCAUUGCAAUUGAGUAAUAUAUAUGCUCAGUACCAAUUGAAGUUGGGCCCAUGUGCGUACAAGUUCCAGUUUUUUGCAAUUACUUAAUAAGUGAAUUAGUCCAACAGGUUAAUGAUUAACACCAAUAUGCUCAUCUUGAACCUGCAAAUACAAAUGUUCUUUUGUUAGACGAAGUGACAGUUGACCUCGAUGUAGUUGCAAGGAUGGAUUUACUCGAGUUCUUCAAGGAGGAAUGUGAUUAUGUGAGCAGCCAAGAAAGGUUUGGUAGUACUUUUAUUUAUUAAUAUUGUUGCUCAAGGGCUAAAGACGUCAUUAAAAUGGUCACAAGACUGGGAUACAACAAGUUUCCAAUGAAGAAUUUAAUAAUCAGGUGAAGAUGUUAAUGUGUGUAUAACAUCCGCAUUUGGUGGUCAUGCUUGGAUUCUACAUAGAGCUAAACUGCAGCGUUUUUGAGUAUAUUCAUCAAAUCUCCUGUAAAUUCUAUGAACUGAGAAGGCGGAACCGAGUAGGAAUUGGGUGAUAAGAGUUCAAGAGGUUUGGAUGAUCUGAUUCCUAGAUUUUGAAGUAGUAUUUCUGUGUCCAGUAGCAGGUUUAUAAUCACAUUGGGGUUCUUCAUGCACACCAUGUGUUUGGUAAUUUGCUUAACUGAAUAUCAAAUCACAUAUUAAAAGGAACUAGAUGUUCCUUCAACAACCGGGAAUGCUUCAGAAACGAAAACCGUGGAAGUGAGUAAUGUCUCAAUUACGGUCACUGAGAAGGAUAUCCGGGAAUUCUUCUCAUUUUCGGGAAAUAUCAAUUAUAUUGAAAUGAAAAGUGAAAGUGAAACCACCCAACGCGCGUUUGUCACCUUCAAGGAAUCAAAGGGAGCACAUACAAUACUUCUUUUGACAACAAAUACAGAUGGGAAAUAUGAAGUUGCACAACAGGCAGAAGAAGUGGUAAGCACGAUGCUUGCAAAGGGUUCCGUUCUGGGAAAAGACGCGCUGCAAAAGGCGAAGUCAUUUGACGAGAAACACCAGUUGACAUCGAACGCGUCUGCGACCACUGUUUCCAUUGACCAAAAGAUGGGUUUGACUCAGAAGUUAAGUACGGGGACAGCUGUCGUUUAUGAAAAGAUGAAAGAAGUGGACGAACGUUACCAAGUAUCCGAAGCAACAAAAUUCGUCGUUGCUAAAGCUGAGCAGAAGGCGAGCGAUGCUGGUUGAUAAAAGUAUAAAAUUGACUCGACGUCCUUUUUUAGAACAGGUUCUUCUGCCAAUAUACAUGGACAAGAUUUUCAAUCAAAUUGUUGCAAUCGUGCUUUCUGUAAGUUUGGUAAUUUUUGGAGAGGUGAUUCCACAAGCAGUAUGUACCAGAUAUGGACUUGCAUCUAAUGGUGUGAUGCUGUGAAGUGGGACAUGAGGAUACCCUUUUGUGGUGACUUGGAGAUGAACAAUGAAGUUUCUGAGACUUCACUUGCCCAUUUGACCGGUUUCAUAUUUUGUUUAUUUAGAGA